ACGAACGCUAGGCGGCGUGCCUAACACAUGCAAGUCGAGAGAGAAAGGGGCUUCGGCCCCUGAGUAAAGUGGCGCACGGGUGAGUAACACGUAGGUCAAUCUCCCUCUGAAUGGUGGAUAACUCUCCGAAAGAGGAGAGCUAAUACAGCAUAAGACCAACGACUCGCUUGAGGUCUGAGGUCCAAAGCAGCCUCUAUUCAUGAAAGGCUAUGCGUUUAGGGAUGAGCCUGCGCCCAUUCAGCUAGUUGGUAGGGUAACGGCCUACCAAGGCGAAAGACGGGUUAGCUGGUCUGAGAGGAUGAACAGCCACACUGGAACUGAGACACGGUCCAGACUCCUACGGGAGGCAGCAGUGGGGAAUUUGCGCAAUGGGCGAAAGCCUGACGCAGCGACGCCGCGUGAGCGAUGAAGGCUUCGGGUCUGUAAAGCUCUGUCGGGAGGGAAGAAUCUUAGGUGGCUAAUAUCCAAGCCGAGUGACGGUACCUCCUUAGCAAGCAACCGGCUAACUCUGUGCCAGCAGCCGCGGUAAGACAGAGGGUUGCUAAAGCGUUGUUCGGAAUUCAUUGGGCGUAAAGCGCGUGUAGGCGGUUGACAUCUAAGUCUGGGGUGAAAUCCCAUCGGCUCAACCGUGGAAGCUGCACGCAUGAAACUGGCAUGGCUAGAGUACCAUGGAGAGGGAAGGUGGAAUGUUCCGGUGUAGCGGUGAAAUCGUAGAUAUCAAGGAGGAACACCGGUGGCGAAGGCGGCCCCUGUCUGGACAGUGACUGACGCUGAGACGCGAAGCGUGGGAGCAACAGGAUUAGAUACCCUGGUAGUCCACGCCUGUAAACGAUGAGUGCAUAGGUGUCACGGGGUAUUGACCCCUCGUGGUGCCGCAGCUAACGCGUUAAGCUGCCUCCGCCUGGGGAGUACGGUCCGCAAGGAUUAAAACUCAAAGGAAUUGACGGGGGCCCGCACAAGCGGUGGAGCAUGUGUUCAAUUCGACGCAACGCGAAGAACCUUACCUGGGCUAGACACGUACAGGAACCUGGUCCUGAAAAUAGGGAGUUUGCCCUUCGGGGACUGCCUGUGUCAGGUGCUGCAUGGCUGUCGUCAGCUCGUGUCCGUGAGGUGUUGGGUUAAGUCCCGCAACGAGCGCAACCCUCGUCCGUUAGUUGCCAAUCCAUUCAGUUGGGCACUCUAACGAGACUGCCGGACCUUUAAGUCCGGAGGAAGGUGGGGACGACGUCAAGUCAUCAUGGCCCUUAUGUCCAGGGCCUACACACGUGCUACUAAUGGUCAGUACAAAGGGUUAGCGAACCCGCGAGGGGGAGCCUAAUCUCCAAAAAGCCGGCUCUCAGUUACGGAUUAAGGAGUCUGCAACUCGACUCUUUGAGUUGGAAUCGCUAGUAAUCGCUGAUCAGCACUGGCCGCGGUGAAUACGUUCCCGGGCCUUGUACACACCGCCCGUCACACCAUGGGAGUCCAGCUGUACCAGAAGUCGGCUGCGCCAACCCGCAAGGGAGGUAGGUCCCCUAAUGGUAGUGCUCGGUGAACUGGGGUG
rnacentral:rRNA from 1 species